rnacentral:rRNA from 1 species
UACGGAAGGGGCAAGCGUUGUUCGGAAUUACUGGGCGUAAAGCGUGCGCAGGCGGUUUUGUAAGCCAGAUGUGAAAUCCCCGGGCUUAACCUGGGAAUGGCAUUUGGGACUGCAAAGCUUGAGUGUGGCAGAGGGGACUGGAAUUCCUGGUGUAGCAGUGAAAUGCGUAGAGAUCAGGAGGAAUACCGAUGGCGAAGGCAGGUCCCUGGGCUGACACUGACGCUCAUGCACGAAAGCGUGGGGAGCAAACAGG